GGGGAGGGAGUCACUCACACAGGAGCAGCAGAUGAAGACCAUGCAGAAGGCCUCUAUGAUGCCCGCGAUGCCCACCACCCAUGUGAGCCGCAGGAAGAGGAUGACCCCAAAGAUGUUCUGCAGGCACGGCAGGGAAACCCACCACCCGCUGUCUCCUGCCACCACCUCCACUUCACUCAUCAAGCCAAGAACUCCUGACCCCCAGAUAGGACUUCCACCAGCUCACUCUUCUCCUCACGUCCAUGAGUUCCUGGGACUAGUAGACCGGUCCUGCCUGUGGGAGCCUGGCACGUGGAGCAGCGAUGGGAUGCCCGGCUCUGCUGCAGACUAGACUUUGCCAAACCACCCGCUUCCCGAAGCCUGAACCUGCUAUGGAGGAGGGCGCCUGCGGAUUGACUCCAGGGUCACUGGGGAGAUGGAUGAGUUAGCCAGUCAGUAGUUCCUGCCCCUACUCAGCUUCAGGGAGGAAGAAGGGGUGUCAGAGGAUGAGGGACCCUGGUGUCCACAGCCUUCCAAGCGGCCACUUGGCUCUGACUUGGACCCAGGAUCCGGAGGACUUCAAGUCCAGGCUGCCUGUCCCUGAAAGACCCUGCGCUUUGAGCCUUUAGGACCCUUGGGCCUUCUCCGCGGGGAGCUCUGCAGGAGUCUUGGACCUGAGGGUCAAGCAAUGCCCAGGGGAGCGUUUGAAGGCGCUGAGCGCAGACAGCCAGAG